rnacentral:rRNA from 1 species
AGCAGCCACUCAUUAAAAGAGUGCGUAAUAGCUCACUGGUCGAGUGACUCUGCGCGGAAAAUGUAACGGGGCUAAGCAUGCAACCGAAGCUUAGGAUUGUCUAAAGACAGUGGUAGGGGAGCGUUCUGUAUGGGGUGAAGUCGCAGCGAGAGCAGCGGUGGACUGUACAGAAGUGAGAAUGCCGGAAUGAGUAGCGAGAAUUAUGUGGGAAUCAUAAUGGCCGAAAAUCUAAGGUUUCUUGGGGAAGGUUCGUCCGCCCAAGGUAAGCCGGGAGCUAAGGCGAGGCCGCAAGGCGUAGUCGAUGCACAUACGGUAGAAAUUCCGUAGCCGCCGAACUUUAAGCAUGCUGACACUUUGGAAUAGGGGAACCCGGGCGUUGGUCGACCCGGGCGUAAGGGACCGAAAAAUAGUAGGGAAGUCCUUGAUGUCCAGAGGCGAGAAAAGGCAUGUGGUAUACUAAGGCGCCCGUACCGCAAACCGACACAGGUAGAUGAGGAGAGAAUCCUAAGGCCAACGGGAGAAGGGUUGUUAAGGAACUCGGCAAAAUGACCCCGUAACUUCGGGAUAAGGGGAGCCUGCGCGAGCAGGCCGCAGAGAAUAGGCCCAAGCGACUGUUUACCAAAAACACAGGUCUAUGCUAAAUCGAAAGAUGACGUAUAUGGGCUGACGCCUGCCCGGUGCUGGAAGGUUAAGAGGAGAGCUUAGCGCAAGCGAAGGUUUGAAUUGAAGCCCCAGUAAACGGCGGCCGUAACUAUAACGGUCCUAAGGUAGCGAAAUUCCUUGUCAGGUAAGUUCUGACCCGCACGAAUGGCGUAACGAUUUGGGCGCUGUCUCAACAGCCCACCCGGCGAAAUUGUAGUACUGGUGAAGAUGCCAGUUACCCGCAACUAGACGGAAAGACCCCAUGGAGCUUUACUGUAGCUUAAUACUGGAAAUCGGUAAAUCAUGUACAGGAUAGGUGGGAGACUUGGAAGCCUGGGCGUCAGCUUAGGUGGAGUCAACCUUGGGAUACCACCCUUGAUUUGCUGGUUUUCUAACCUGCGGCCGUGAAUCCGGUCGGGGGACACUGUUAGGUGGGCAGUUUGACUGGGGCGGUCGCCUCCAAAAAGGUAACGGAGGCGCUCAAAGGUUCGUUCAGCACGGACGGAAACCGUGCAGUGAGUGUAAACGCAUAAACGAGCCUAACUGCGAGACCGACGGGUCGAGCAGUAACGAAAGUUGGAGUUAGUGAUCCGGCGGUAUGUGCGUGGAAAUGCCG